rnacentral:rRNA from 1 species
ACGAACGCUGGCGGCAUGCCUAACACCUGCAAGUCGAACGAGACCUUCGGGUCUAGUGGCGUACGGGUGCGUAACGCGUGCGAACCUGCCCUUAGGUUCGGAAUAACUCCCCGAAAGGGGUGCUAAUACCGGAUAAUGUCUUCGGACCAAAGAUUUAUCGCCUUUGGAUGGGCCCGCGUUGGAUUAGCUAGUUGGUAGGGUAAAAGCCUACCAAGGCGACGAUCCAUAGCUGGUCUGAGAGGAUGAUCAGCCACACUGGGACUGAGACACGGCCCAGACUCCUACGGGAGGCAGCAGUGGGGAAUAUUGGACAAUGGGCGAAAGCCUGAUCCAGCAAUGCCGCGUGAGUGAUGAAGGCCUUAGGGUUGUAAAGCUCUUUUACCCGGGAUGAUAAUGACAGUACCGGGAGAAUAAGCUCCGGCUAACUCCGUG